UGCACUUCAAUUUUUUCAAGUUGCAUAAUUCAUCUACAAUGGAGUCUGUAUUGAUAAUUUCAGCAAAGAAGACUUAACUAACCUGAUUAACAUCGAAGGCAGAACCACAAACCAAUGAUUUAAUGCAAGAAUAUUUUACUAACUUGAGAAAGCACAGACAAAGAAGGCAGCACUUUGAUUGCAGACGAGCAAGAAAAGCAAAGCAUCUUAUUUGUAAGCCCUAGCAAAAAUAUAUUGAUGGAAGAAAAUUAGAUUUGCCAAUUGAAAUUCCUUUUUUUUUUUUCUUGGGGAGUUCACAAGUUUUCUUCUUUUUUUUUUAGGUAUACUUUAAGAGAUCACUUAUAGAAAGAAAUCAAAAUCCGGUUUUCCUUCAAUCAAGAAAUAGGAAGGGCUUCUUUAUCACAGUCAAGCGACCAUAGGAGCAUGGCCUCCCAUAUGCUGGCAAGAUUCCUUUCUACGUGAUCCUUUUUGACAGAAAGAAGUCAGAUGAGGAUAGGGACCCUCACUAGUUGAAGGUAGGGGUAUAAACAAGAUUAUAAUAGAGUUUUGGAAAGCCAAGACACUGACAGCCCUUGGUGCCACCGAAGAAAGCCAACCAGGGCCUGAAUGACUCGAUUUCAGCCACUAACAAGAAUUCUAGAAUCAAAUCCAUGGACAUCGAUCAAAAAUCCGUAGGAGAUCGAAAGCGGAGGCGAGAGAAAAGAAACGAAGAGCAUGACAAGAAGUCUAAGGUUCAUCUCCGUAGACAUCGAUAAAAAAUCAACAAGAGAUCCACCUGCGGCGGGUCAAGAAAAGAAAAGAGGGGAAUGACCAGGUCUAAGAAUUAUCUCCAUGGACAUCGAUGAAAAAUCAAUAGGAGAUCCACCAGCGGAAGGUAGGGAAAAGAAAAGAAAAGAAAAGAAGAGGGCCUGAAUGACUCGAAUUCAGCUUCUACCAAGAAUUCUAGAUCUAAUCAGUAAAGGUCUGGUUGCAUCCACAAGAAGUCCAAGAUUCAUCUCCAUGGACAUCGAUCAAAAAUCCAUAGGAGAUCGACCUGCGGAGGGGCAAGAAAAGAAAAGAAAAGAAGAGGGGAAUGACAAGAAGUCUAAGAUUCAUCUUCAUUGGCAUCGAUCAAAAAUCACUAGGAGAUCAACCUGCGGAGAGGAAAGAAAAGAAAAGAAAAGAAGAGGAGCAUGACUAGAUGUCUAAGAUUCAUCUCCAUAGUCAUCGAUCAAAAAUCAAUGGGAGAUACACCUGCGGAAGGAAAAGAAAAGAAAAGAACAGGGGAAAAACAAGAGAAUCUUGAAGUUUCCAUGGAGGUACUGAGGAACACCGGAGAUCGACCCUCUCCAUUAGAGAUCCAGAGGAGAAGAGUACAAAAGCUUCCACUCACAAGCGUCGCCAGGAGCUACAAAGCCGUGACAUCCAAGAACUAAAUCAACAUGAAUGUGCAGGGCAAACCUAUUAGGGUAUUAUCUAUACACGAACAAGAUCUAAUCCGUAAAGAUCUAUUAGCUUGCUCAAGAAUUUCAAGAUUCAUCAUCAUCGAAAUCCAAGAUUAAUCCGAGAAGAAAGGAAAAAGGCAAAAUACGAGGGAAACCUU
rnacentral:lncRNA from 1 species